UACGGAGGGUACGAACGUUAAUCGGAAUUACUGGGCGUAAAGCGCACGUAGGCGGUUCGUUAAGUGGGAUGUGAAAUCCCCGGGCUCAACCUGGGAACUGCAUUCCAGACUGGCGAACUCGAGUCUGGUAGAGGGGGGUGGAAUUUCCUGUGUAGCGGUGAAAUGCGUAGAUAUAGGAAGGAACAUCAGUGGCGAAGGCGGCCCCCUGGACUAAGACUGACGCUGAGGUGCGAAAGCGUGGGGAGCAAACAGG
rnacentral:rRNA from 1 species